AUAUUUUUUUCAAUUUUUUAUUCUGUUUCGGUGUAUAAGCAACUGAAUUUGCAUUUUGUUAGAAAUGUUAUUCAAGUAUGCAUUGUGAUUGAUUUUUAGAAUCUCAUUAUUUCAAAAUCCAAUCUAGCUUCGACAUGCUAAUAGAUAAUAAUAUGUAUUGUAGAUUCUCUCUUGUUAUGUGAUCAGAGACGUUAUGUCGUGCCAUGAAAUCUUAUUGCCGAAAGCUCCUCUUUGCUUGUUUGUCGUUGUAAGGAGUAAUUGUUGAUUCAACAACCUAAUACAUUAUUUCUUUGAUGCCUAAAGUCUGUUCUUUUAAGUAGAAUCUUUAAACAUGUUCAAAGUUUGAAUUGGUGAUUUUGUGAGUUGUUAUUUUUGACUUUAGAUUGGUUAUUCGUUGUUGAAAUAUCUUGCUUUCUCAUGAGAUUUUCGCUGCUCUAAAUAUCUCACGUAACGCACAUAGAUCCCAAAUAUACAAUUUGAUCAUGUCUUACUUCUAGUUCUCCAAGCAUAAUCGUGUGAAGUGCAUACUAUUUAUCGUGAUCGUUCUCUUGAUAUGGUUUCUUCUGCUUUAGUAUAAACAAAAUUUUGAAUUGUAAUCUAUUUCUACAUUAUAUGGGAGAGCUAGGAUGCCGAUUUGAAGUUUACCGCAAUUAUGAACUUACAGUAGAGGAGCUGAAAAAGUAAGCUUAAAUUAUAUGCAUUUUGUUUAAACGUAAUAUGGCAAAUCAAUUGGUGUUGAUUCUUUGAUUAUGUUCUCCCUUUUGCAGUAAAAAUCCAAGAGUAAUGUUGAUUUCUCCUGGACCUGGUAAAUAUUUUGGCCUCUGAAAUUUCUUCAAUAAUUAUGUGGUGUAUCUUGUGGUGGAUAACACUUUUCUUGAAUUUGAUAGGUACCCCUCAAGACUCUGGGAUUUUCUUUCAAACAGUUUUGAAACUUGGACCUCGUGUUCCUUUAUUUGGAGUAUGUAUGAAUUUGCAGUGUAUAGGAGAAGCAUUUAGAGGUUAGUUGCAUCUAAAGAAGACAACAUAUUUUCCCGUAUCAGUGUUCUAACAUGGUUUUAGUCUUUAUAUUAUGUAUCCACAACUUAAAUGCAAUAUUGUUUGAUCAUUAAUUAGGAAAGAUUGUGCGGUCACUAUUUGGUGUUAUGCAUGGGAAAAGCUCAAUGGUUCACUAUGAUGAGAAAGGAAAAUAAUGCUUGUUCUCUGGAUUAUCCAAGUAUAAAUCAGAUUUGUUUGUGUUGUAUUAAUCAUAAGUUUAUAAAUGUUUAAUAAUAAAACAAAACUUGUUGGCCUGUUGUUUUCAGCCCUUUCUUUGUAAGUAGAUAUCACAGCCUCGUCAUCGAAAAAGAUUCAUUCCCUAGUGGUGAACUCGAGGUUACAGCAUGGACAGCAGAUGGUCUGGUUAUGGCUUCCUGUCACAUGAAGUAUAAGCAUAUACAAGUAAAACCACUCAAGUGUUUUCAUGUAUCUUAUUGCCUCCAUUCAAAACAGAGCUCUUGAAGUCUUGUAAAAAUUGUUCACAGGGAGUUCAAUUUCAUCCGGAGAGUAUUAUAACAACUGAAGGCAAGACAAUUGUCUGCAAUUUCAUCAAACUCGUAGAGAAAAAGGAAUCUGAGAAGCUGACAUAGACUAGUCUGGAUGAGAAAAUCAGCUGUGUUUGAUUAGUUCCUCCCUGUAAUAAUGUCUGCCAAUGCAAAAUAUAAUCUUUCCAUUGUUUUUAUCAUAAAUAUUUUACAGAUGCCUAGCGACAAAAAUGGCAGAGGGCUUAGUGGCUUUGAUGGUGACGGGGAGUCUCAUUCAUUCAACGUCCGAUUAAUUAAGGUACGUUUUAAGAUUUUAUUUGGAGUUUAAUCACAAAAAAAUAGUAUUAGUAAAGAAAUUUGAAAAACCCAAUGUAAUUUCCAAGUGAAUAAGAAUAUGUAUUUGGAGGUAAAUCACAGAGAAAAAAUAGAAAGAAAAAAAGACUUUGUUUUGGGAUAUUAUUUGCUGAUGAGAAACUUUUAUUUGGUAUAUAUUCGUUUCUAUGGUUUACAUCUUUUAUAUGUUUCAAGAUUUCAUAAACACAAUUAUCAUAAAUUUUAACGACACCAAGGCGUAAAUCUUAACUACAACAAUUGUUUCAAAGAUAUUUUAAAAGAUUUCUCAACUAAAAUUAUGUAAAAUCUUCAAUCAUAUACAAUCCUACCUAUAUUGUUAAUUCUAAAUAUUUUUAUCUUCCCUAAAAACUUUCUAUCAUUCAUUUCAAUGUGUAGGAGUUGGAGAUGGAUCUAAGAGAAUCAAGAGCAAAAUGAAAAAUUGUGGUGGGUCACCAUGCUAUAAAGAGAGCUUGAAUCUCUCUCUUACCCAUCCUUGAGGUUCAUUUUUUUCUUAAUUAUGUCAAUGUAAUUUAAAAUAAAAAGCUAACUUUUGCAUUUUUUUAAUGUUUAUAUUUCAAUAUUUCUUUCCAAAUUAUGUAUAUUUCUAAAAAUUUAAUAUUUUCACUUGCUCAUAACUAUCUUUGCAAAAGACAAACGCAAGAGAGUUGAUAUUUUCAGUUUGUUAUUAGCAAAUAAAAUUUUUUUGAACUGCCAAAAUUAAGUAGAAAUUUCCUUUAGAAAAGAGAAAAAAUAAAGCACACUACUAUUAUAAUAUGUAACUAUUUUUGGAAAAUUUCAGGCGAAUAAAUUCGAUCUCUAUAUGAAUGGUCAUGAUCAUUGCUUGCAACAGAUAAGCACAUCUCAAAGGUAAAACCAAUUAAUUGGUAUAUAUAAAUAAAGCUGGGUUUGGAUGAAGCGGAUAAUGAAUGAUAAAGUUAUGGAUUAACAUUUUAUUAUGUUUUUGCAGUCGAAUUCAGUUCUGAACGAGUGGAGGUGGGUCAAAGGUAUGAAGAGGCUAUUACAAUUGGACAACACCAGAUGAUAUGAAAUUUUUCUACGAUGGACAAGGUUUCAGGUCAGUUAAAAUCACUAGAUCAUAAAUGAGUGUCGUUUUUUAUGAUGUCUCUGGCAACAUUUUACACAAAUGGGACACAUCAAAAAUGUUAGACACGGAUUUUUUUUUUCAUUGUAAUUCACAUGAAAAUCAAUAUUGAAGCACAUAAAAUUGUUCAUAUCAAAUAUGAAUCUUAUGAGUGGUUCCAAAUAUUUAAGUAAAAUCUGAAAAAAAUACAUGAAGGUCAUGCAAACUAUGGGAUUUAUCACCGCUUGUUUAGCUAAACCAUGAUGUUAACUUAAUUGUUUUUCGAUCCAUUAGUUAUUGCAUGGCACCAAACAAACAUAUACCAUCAAAUUUGGAGGUUCGUUCAAUACUUGAUGAAUAUAAUAAAUAUGUUUGGCCAUUGUCCGCUAACAUAUAAUAACGUCCAUAUAAAACAUUGGAGCGACAUAAUUUAAUGGGAAAAAAACUUCAACAUUCGUGUCUUUUACAAUUCAAACUAAACCAACAAGAAAAAUAAAACCAAAGAAGAUACAUAAACCGGAUAUGGUAAAGGAUAUGCAAAUACAUGAAUCUAAAUUAAGAAAUAACAUCCUGUAUUUGUUCAUACUUUAAGAUAUGAAAAUUCAUUUCCUAAUUUUGUUCAUAUAUUUUACCAAAUUAUCUAGACAUUUAUGUUAGAUAUGUGUACAAUAGUCCUGCGAAUGGACUAAUUCCAAACGCUAUUUUAGAUAACUAUGAUAUUGACUUUGACCAAACAAAAGAGAUUUCUAAUUAAAUUAACUAAUUACUCACCUACUAAUUAAGCAUGUGGUUCAUGUUCCACAAAAACGCACCGUUUCACCUGUCAAAUUUCCCAAUCCCUCUCUCAAAUGUUUUUAAACUCCUCUCUCUUCGAAUCAGAGAAGAAUCUAUUCUUCUCCGACAAUGGUGGCUACUACACUGUACAAGUAUGUCUUCUUCAACCCAAGUCUGGCUCCACCACUCACUGCCUAAACCCUUCUCUCGUUAACCCUCUUACGAAUCCGACAAGAAAGUCUUCGGUUUCGAGAUAGAGGCGUUUUGUUCGAAUCAAAGUUUCGAAUUUUAUCUAUUUUUGUUUCCUCUGCGAUAUAGGAGUUUCGGUUUUGGGGAAGAGUCGUAGAGAUGUCUUUGCAAAAGAUUCGAUUGAAAUGGCGGAAUCGAAUUCGACACCUUCUGUUUUUGUCAAUUCCUCUAAGCAGAAUGGUUCUAUCAUCGUGAUUGAUAAUUACGACAGCUUCGCUUACAAUCUCUGCCAUAUUUUUUUCAAUUUUUUAUUUUGUUUCGGUGUAUAAGCAACUGAAUUUGCAUUUUGUUAGAAAUGUUAUUCAAGUAUGCAUUGUGAUUGAUUUUUAGAAUCUCAUUAUUUCAAAAUCCAAUCUAGCUUCGACAUGCUAAUAGAUAAUAAUAUGUAUUGUAGAUUCUCUCUUGUUAUGUGAUCAGAGACGUUAUGUCGUGCCAUGAAAUCUUAUUGCCGAAAGCUCCUCUUUGCUUGUUUGUCGUUGAGUAAUUGUUGAUUCAACAACCUAAUACAUUAUUUCUUUGAUGCCUAAAGUCUGUUCUUUUAAGUAGAAUCUUUAAACAUGUUCAAAGUUUGAAUUGGUGAUUUUGUGAGUUGUUAUUUUUGACUUUAGAUUGGUUAUUCGUUGUUGAAAUAUCUUGCUUUCUC
rnacentral:lncRNA from 1 species